rnacentral:lncRNA from 1 species
AAUACCAAAGAGCGAUUGAGAGAAGAGCAGUACGUAGGACUUAAAAAGAGGGUUCCUUCCUCUCUUCACUCUCCUAAUUUCGAUCCUCACCUUUCUGGUGCCAAAGGCCUACCCUUCCACUUUACAGGAAGUUCUAAAGGAAGAAGUCGAAAAGGAAAAGAAAGUCACCUUUCCUGCCAACCUCCUGGCUUUAUUCUUAU